rnacentral:misc_RNA from 1 species
AAGUCGUAACAAGGUUUCCGUAGGUGAACCUGCGGAAGGAUCAUUAUUGAAUAACUUGGUUGUUGAUGCUGGCGUCUCUCGGGAUGCAUGUGCUCGCAGCUAUUUUAAUCAUUAUCUUUUGUGAACCAUUUGUAGUUUGUUUAUCUUGAGUUGGGGAGACGACUUGGCCGAAAGGACUUGUCCGAUUUCUGCUCUCGAGACGCAUUCUAUGUUUAUUAUACCAUGUUUAAAAGUCUAUGAAUGUCUUCUUUGUUAUUGACGCGAGUCAUUAAUAAAAACUUAUACAACUUUCAACAACGGAUCUCUUGGGUCUC